UAUUAAAGAACAAGGAGAUGCCAGGGAGAAGACAAAGAGUAUCAAAAUCACUUCAUAAAGACACUUGUGAAUAUAUUACAUGUAUAAAACAAAACAAUAUGAAUAAGAAAUAAUCAGAGAAGAAAAAGUUCUUAGAACUCAUGCUCCAUCUUGGGAGUUGGUCUCCAAUGAGCCAUACCUCCUGUCAUCAUGUCCUCAGACAGGCCCAUCCCAUAGUCAAUCUGGGUUGGCCCCAACACUCACUUUAACCUAUAGCAUGUGGUAGAAAUGACACUGGACCUGUUCCAGGUCUAAGCCUUAAGAACUCCUGGCAGCUCCAUUUCUGUGCUUCUGGAAGCCAAAAAUAAGAAUUGGCUACCUUCUUGGAGAAAGGAAAGCCACAUGAAGAGAUCCGAGAGGAUGAGAUGCUAUGCAGAGAGAAAGGCCACAUCAAGAAUUACCAAGGCAGCAGACCUGUGGGUAAAGAAGCCGUCUCAGACAUUCCACUGCAGCUGAGCAUCCAGAUGACCAGUCCCUGACACUGUUUAACCACACAGUGAGAGCUGCCAAAUGAGACCAGCAGAAAAACUGUCCAGCUAGCCCCAGCUCACCAAGGAAAAGACAAACUCCUAAAAGCUUCCAGGGAGAAAGUCAUGCAUAAACAAGUGAAACUCAGGAUGGCAUGAGGCUUCGCCACCACGACUGGUUAGAAGACAACAGCACAGACUUUGAAAUUCUAAGGUAAAAUUAUCCUCAACCUAGAAAUACAUAAUCAAGCAAACUAUCAAUCAAGUGUGAGGGUAGAAUAUGAGAGACGUGAAUACUGAUGGGGAUGUGAUAUGCAGCAGGCACUGUUCUAAAUGGUUUACAUGUACCAACCCAAUUAAGAAACUUAAAAUACACACGCGCACACACACACACACACGCACACACACACACACACAGUUUUUCCUGCUAAUCAUUUUACGAUGAAACAGCCAAGUAGCUAACCCAGAGCCCACAAAGGCAGAGUAAAAAUUCUAACACUUGGUAAAAUAAAAAUGCACAUAUACCCUGUGAUCUAAAAAAAAAAAUGCUUAAAUAUUCAAAGACAGACAGCAAUUACAGCUACUGAGAACAUCACUGUAAGCAAACUGAGGCAGAGAAAACAAAGGUGCUAAUGAGGAUUUGAACCACCUAACAUGCAGAAACCCACUGGAUGCUUUCCUAGGUUCCGAGCUGGCAUUGUCUUUCAGAAUGAUCUAGAAGAGGUCACAUGACACUGUUACAAAGGAUCUAGAGAAAGGGACCCUUGCUUUAUCACUCCGGCUCUCCAGUCAUGCUUCACAUUUUCACUUCUUACACUCUUUCACAUGAAGUCAAUUUACAGACCUCCAUCAUGCCCUUAGAGACCUUUUUGUAAUAUUCUGACAAGUUCUGGAUGUCAUCUCUGCACUUUUGACAAAUUCUUAGCAGUUAACGUACAAGGCAGUUAACAUUUUUGUUCACGGUAUAGCUAGAAAAGGGUCAUAUACUCAAUAAAACAAAUAUUUACCAAGCAUUCAUUGAGUGGAAGAUAAAACGCACAAAGCAUAAUUAUAAAAUAUUCUCCCCUGCCAUGAUAC
rnacentral:lncRNA from 10 species